rnacentral:rRNA from 14 species
ACUGCCUGCAAGGUGCUGCAUGGUUGUCGUCAGCUCGUGCCGUGAGGUGUCAGGUUAAGUCCUAUAACGAGCGCAACCCCUACCGUUAGUUGCCAGCAUGUCAUGAUGGGGACUCUAGCGGGACUGCCGGUGCAAACCGUGAGGAAGGUGGGGAUGACGUCAAAUCAUCACGGCCCUUACGUCCUGGGCCACACACGUGCUACAAUGGCAGGUACAGAGAGCAGCCACGUCGCAAGGCGGAGCGAAUCUAUAAAACCUGUCACAGUUCGGAUCGGGGUCUGCAACUCGACCCCGUGAAGCUGGAAUCGCUAGUAAUCGGAUAUCAGCCAUGAUCCGGUGAAUACGUUCCCGGGCCUUGUACACACCGCCCGUCAAGCCAUGGAAGCCGGGAGUGCCUGAAGUCCGUCACCGUAAGGAGCGGCCUAGGGCAAGAUCGGUAACUAGGGCUAAGUCGUAACAAGGUAGCCGUACCGGAAGGUGCGGCUGGAACACCUCCUU